AAAAAAAAAAAAAAUCAGACGCAGAAAUGCAUGAUUGAAGAAUACAUUCAGAAGGACAUUUUGCCUUUUCUUUCUUCUUCAUCUAAUGGAGGGCAGCAUUACUAUAAAACAGAACAGAGUUGCAGCUGGAGAGUUUUAAUGGAGACAAAACACAAGCCUGAUGAUCAAAUGAGGCUGAACAUGGGCACCUGAAUACCUGAACACAGGUAACCAUAUCAUCGAUCUUCCAGGUUUGUUGUAAGGAUCAAAUGAGGUAAGCCCUAUUUUAGGUCACAAGGGAAUGCAAAGGUGAAUAAGAAAAGGUCCUCUUCCCUAAUGGACCUGAAGAUGUCAGAAUGAAAUCACAAGUCGACAGAGACCUGACUCCUGACCAUCUGCUCCAUUUCCCUUGGCUCUUCAUGUCAUGUAACAAAUAGCAUCGCUUCUCAGACUGAUUAAAUAAUCAGCAAGUCAGGUGACUUCUCUUUCAUUCACUGUUUCACAUCAUCCUGAAGCUGAAGAAAACAACUAAAGGAGUGAUUUGUGAUUUACUUAUUUUCUUCGGUGUUUAAAUGCUUCUUACAGAAUUGGAAACAUAUGUUUAAAAAUGGUAGAAUGUUAACACAAGACGUAUUCCGUCAUCCUCUUUAAUUA